AAUGAACGUUGGCGGCAUGGAUUAGGCAUGCAAGUCGAGCGAGAAGGGUUUUGAAGCUUGCUUUAGAACCCGGAAAGCGGCGAAAGGGAGAGUAACGAGUAGUUAUCUACCCCAAGGCCCGGAAUAGCUGCGGGAAACUGCAGGUAAUGCCGGAUAAUAUCCCCGGAUCAAAGGUGUGAUUCCGCCUUGGGAGGAGACUGCUUUGUACUAGCUUGUUGGUAGGGUAAUGGCCUACCAAGGCUACGAUGCAUAGCGGGCGUGAGAGCGUGGCCCGUUUCACUGGGACUGAAACACUGCCCAGACCCCUACGGGUGGCUGCAGUCGAGAAUCUUCGGCAAUGGGCGAAAGCCUGACCGAGCGAUGCCGCGUGCGGGAUGAAGGCCCUCGGGUUGUAAACCGCUGUCGUAGAGGAGAAAGGUCUCGUGAAGAGCGAGAUUUGAUCUAUUCUAGGAGGAAGUCGGGGCUAAGUUCGUGCCAGCAGCCGCGGUAA
rnacentral:rRNA from 1 species